UAUAUACAGAUUCAUACUUGUACAUUCAUCAUUCUUUUUGUUCUUGAUUUAGGUUUUUUUUAUGUCUAAACUCAGCAUACUGAUUCCUAAAAAAGGAUCAUUCAAAAAGAAAACUUAUACAUGGAUCAAAGAGAGAAACAUAAAUCUAAGAAGAGUGACAGCUAUCUAUGGGGAUGACUAUGCCCAAUUUUCUUGAUUCUUUGUGGAGAGGCGUUUGAGGAAUUCAUAAGUAGUGAUCAUUGUGGUUGCAGACAUGGACAUUGAAGCCCAUCGAGGGCCUAAUCCUCUGUAACAAGCCAUCCACCCACCUUCCUUUACUAAAUUUCUUACCGUCUGAGCUACUGUUGGCCCUCUCCGUCCAUUCUCAUCGCCAUCCAGGACCUGCAAUCUUGUCUUGAUUGUGUCUAAUGGUGUUGUAAUCAGCGCUGAAACACCUCCGGCCAUGGCUGCACUCACUCCCUGAACCAUCAUAACAGUCUUCGAAUCAGGCUUCAGAGUACUUUUGAUGUUAUCCUCAAUUCUGUCAUCACCAUUCUUGCUGAAGUAACAUCCAUACCCACUCCAGACAAGCCGCUGAGUGAUGGUGUAGGAUGUCCACCACAGUGCAUUGGAUGGGGCAUAUGUCAAAAUUGAAAACCCAAAACCUCUGUAGAGUCCCUUAGGUCCAUCUGUCUUGAGGAUUCGUCGAAAAGCAUCAAUCCCAUUGAGAUAUUUACAGGAUGCUGGUGCAGCACAAACACGCUGCACCAUGAGCCGCUGGCUGACCACAUCCACCGGAGUCCAAACCAAUUGUGCGGCCACAGCUGCGCUCAAUCCAGCAGCAGCACUGGCUAACGCAGUCGCAGUUGGCUCAGGAAUGCCGAGCCUAACCGUGGCCGUACCAACACUACUCUUGGUAACCUCAAGAGCAGUCAUAUAAAGUGCCCUAGCAGGAAUUGUACCCAUCAACGAAGUCCCAAACCCCCGAUACAAUCCACGAAUUCCUUCAAGCCUAACAACGGAUAAGGCAGUUCUAAAACAGGAAAGAUGAGCUUGGGCUACCUGUUGUCGAGUCUUCAACACCACAACAGGAUAAAGCACAGCUGAAACACCUGAAAAUAAGGCGGCGCCGAGGAAGAAAAACUUAGAUUUGUCCAGCAUUUGCCAGUCUACAUCCGCCGGCAACUGGAUUUCCUUACCCGAUUCCUCCUCCGCUACACCUAAACUCAUUUUCCCCAGUUUUCCUGUCUCGGUCUCAAUUUUCACAAGAUACUUUUAUUCCUUCCGGGAAAUGUACAGUACAAAUCAACGUCUAAUCUACUAAAUUGAAGCUAGAUGGAGAAGGUAAAGAUUUUUUUCGCUGGCGAAUCCAUAUUUUGGAUCGGAAAUGGGUAAUAGCAAAAGGACCUAACAUUUCUGUAAUCGCAUCAUAUGAGAAAGAUUCAUAAUGGUCAACUAUACAAAUCGUAAUAGAUCGGAAAACUCACCGGAAAAUCUAGGAUCUCGGCGGAGAUAUUCAAUCGGAGUGAACUUGCUUG
rnacentral:misc_RNA from 1 species